rnacentral:ncRNA from 1 species
AUAAAACUGUUGAAGAGGCUAGUAAUAACAAUAUUUAUUUUAAGAGAGUCGAUGGUUGGUGUAAAUCGAUAGUAAAAUGUUAUGAAUCCACCUUGGAGGGACUGUGAUGAGCAGUACGGCUUAAACCGUUAAAUUUAUUUAAGAGAAUAGCAUAUUUUGCUAUUAAUUAGGGUGGCAACGCGGAAUCUUUCGUCCCUUGU